GAAAUUCCAAUCGAACCUGGAGAUAGCUGGUUCUCUCCGAAAUAGCUUUAGGGCUAGCCUCAAGUGAUGAUUAUUGGAGGUAGAGCACUGUUUGGACGAGGGGCCCCUCUCGGGUUACCGAAUUCAGACAAACUCCGAAUGCCAAUUAAUUUAACUUGGGAGUCAGAACAUGGGUGAUAAGGUCCGUGUUCGAAAGGGAAACAGCCCAGACCACCAGCUAAGGUCCCAAAAUAUAUGUUAAGUGGAAAAGGAUGUGGCGUUGCCCAGACAACUAGGAUGUUGGCUUAGAAGCAGCCAUCAUUUAAAGAGUGCGUAAUAGCUCACUAGUCGAGUGACACUGCGCCGAAAAUGUACCGGGGCUAAACAUAUUACCGAAGCUGUGGAUUGUCCUUUGGACAAUGGUAGGAGAGCGUUCUAAGGGCGUUGAAGCAUGAUCGUAAGGACAUGUGGAGCGCUUAGAAGUGAGAAUGCCGGUGUGAGUAGCGAAAGACGGGUGAGAAUCCCGUCCACCGAUUG
rnacentral:rRNA from 1 species